GGCAUCAGCCAACAAGUUCCAUAACCAGAACAGCUGUAGUGAUUGUGGCCUAGCUAAUAGCUAGUAAAAAAUGAGUAGGAGCUGGCGAAUUGCUGCUUCAACCAAACCAUAUUCCCCUGAACAAAUUGAGUCUUACAAUAACUUUUUUACAUAUACUUUUAAUUUGAGUUUUGCUUAGUUGCUUUCGUUUACCUCAUGACAGGUGAUGCUGAGACGGUUUUGUCCUCGUAAGACUACUCUACUGUUUGUUAUACGAGAUAAAACAAGGUCACAAUUGAAUGAGGCUAUUUUAAGAGAGGAUUAUGGA